ACGGAAAGAAACUAGGGAAAAACUGGCAUUAACUGAGGUCUUCAUGCCUGCACCCUUGUUCCAGGAUAGAGAGCUAAACAGCAUAGAAACUUGGUGGUUAGUGCUUUUUGGCAGUAAUUUGAUGGCCAUGGGCAUUGCCCAGGAACUCUAAUGCCCCAGUAAGCCUCUGUUUCACAUGCACAUUUCUACAUGUGAGUCCUGCUGGCAAGGAAUGAAUUCUACCAGGUAUCAGACUUUACCCUGAAAGCUGAAGAGGCUGAAUUAAUUUCUUUGAUCUUGCUUUGCCUGCCAUCCUUGCAGCACUGAAUAAGCUGGUAUGGUGUAGUUAUCUGUAGGUGGAGACAAACAAGACUACAUGAGUGGAUAGGUCUUUUUAAGCACUGUAUUUCUGAAAACCAAGAAGAGCAGCAAAUACCUUCUCUCUGUACUGUGCAUACUCCUACCUUUGAGGAAAGAGGAAAGAAGAGUCAACACAGCACCCACUUUAUUAGGCUGCGGUCAGUGGAAAUGGGCAGCGGGAUACAGUCACUCCUCCAGUGCUCCCUGUGCUCUGACAAAGAUGACUGCUGGCCUCUGAGAGCGCCUUCGGAGCAGGGAUGAGUCACUGCCCCUGGGUAAACAGUGAAUGCUAUGAUGACACUCACGUUUGAAAGACAGUGAGGUGGAACAAACAAGGUAAUUUCUUAAUAAAUAUUUAUUUCAAGGAAACAUGUUUGGCUUAAUCCUUUUUCCACUGAUGUUAAUAAAAGUUAUGCAUUGACAAAAGGCACUGCAGCAUUUGUAAAGUAUUUUGACAUCUGUGGAUGAAAGGUUCUAAAUAAUAGCUAAGGAUUAUAUAUUCCUCAAUGGGAACAUGAGUUAGCCUGCUGGAUAAAUUAAUAAACACAUUGUUAUGUAAGUAUGGUAAAAUGCUGCUGAUGCUUCAUGAUUAAACUUGACAUGCUGACAAAAAGAAGCUGAGGAUUUGAUUUUACUUUAUUUUACUUUUUUUUAAAUUUGAUUUUUCAAAAAUUUCACACUUGUAAGGCUUGCUUGAAAAAUCUCCAAGUACUUUCAGUUUAGAGACAUUAAAUUUCCAAAUGGACACAAAUAUAUUCAGCUCUGUUUCACAGGUAGAGAAAUUGAGGUAUGCAGAAGGUCUCUGAGACUUCAGUAUCAUGGGUUCUGUGAACUACAGGCUGCACCCCUGGUCAUUACAAGGUACAGAGAGUGAUAUUUAAUUGUCCUCAUAUGCAAAAACCUCAGAAUGGUCUCAUGAAAAGAAAGGGACCUGCCUAGUGUAAAACUGUCAGAAAGCAGAUCUUGGGAUUAGAUAUUUAACAAUGGCCAAGAAAAUUUACUGUGCACUCAUGGUGGUGUAUCUUAUAUUUUACCCUGUCACCAUGAAUGCUGCAGGCGUGGGAGACCCCAGGGGGCUUUUUGGGCUGUGUGGGUGUGACACGGGUUCCUGGCUCCGGGGUGUCACCAUUAAUCCCACCCCACUGCGUUUGCCCUUGCAGACACUGAGCAGCAUUGCUGGUAGGUGCUAAAGCCUGUCCUUGCUCUCCAGCCCCACACUGCAGGGGCUGCUUAGUGCCACUGUAAUUAAGCCAAAGACCUUUCUUUCUCUCUUCUUUCAUUGAGAUCCCUGAUCUGAUCACAAGCAUUUGUACAGUGCUCCUCACCGUGGUACUCAAGAAUCAUUUAAAUACCCCACUUGAUCCCAAAACUGAAAUAUCUAGCACCGAAAAGUGAUAAUUAGUGAUAACACAUUUACAAACAUUAGGCUGUGGUACAUAACAGAUUGGUGUUUGUUACUAAGUGCUGGAGAGCCUAGUAUGGAGUAUUUAUAACAAAUUAUAUUUUUUUGUAUUUGUAAAUAUUAUGAUAUAUUUAUAACAAAUUACAAUUACAAAUUCUCAUGGAAAUGGUUCUUUUUCUAGGUGCAGCCUACAUCAUUUCAGCAAAGGAAGCCCAUAGAAAUGACUAAGAGUGAAUUUAGUUAUCACCAACUUCCAGUGCUUUUGCCUUUGUCUGGUAUUUUAUUUACUGUACUUUCAGCAACUCCAAAAUUAUUCUCCUGGACUCGGACAAAGUAAAGAUUAAAAUAUCAGUUUUCAAUGGGUGAUAGUUUUCUUCAGAGCUGAGGAGGAUUUGGAGUUUGUGUUUUGUUGGCUUUUUUUUUCUUAAUUUUUCCUUCAAAUUUAGUGAUCUGUAACUGAAGGAGUUUAGCACUCUGCCUUCUGUUCUGUCCUGCUCUGCAAAGACUGCUUUUGGUUUUCAUGCAGUAAGCUGUCAGCCUUUUUAGAGGUUUUUUCUUUGUAAUGUCUUUAUACAAUGUGGAUGCACUUUUGUCUACAAGGCCACCUUGUAGAAGGUGACAAAAAACCAGUCACAUUAGGAAAAAAUAUCCUUGGGAAAUACGGUCUGUCUAGUACUAGUGCUCAGGGAUCUGCUUGUUCCCUGCCUUUCUGAACUGUUUUAUCCACUUAGAUGACUCAUGAGGACAAGGACUGUCUCGUAGGCAGUCCGUACCUGGCACAGGGAGUACCAGUCUCAGCUGAGUCAAGGGCUCUUCCAUGCUGGAGGCAAUUAUGUGCUGAUGGAGCCUGCUAGCUAUGAAACAAUAACACUGAGAUCAAUCAGGUCGAUAACUAAUCUUCCUUUUCUUCUCUUAGAUACAGAUAAUGCAGAUUCUGCCUUCCAUUGCUCCUCUGGUAUUAGUAGGAAGAUUUAUUUAAUACCACAGGAAAUGAAGCCAAAGAUGAGACUGAAAUUCAUUUCAACAUAGUGAAGACUUUGAUUCUUCUGCAAGUCUCGUAUACUUAAGACUUAAUGCACAAAGAAAAGGUGAUGUCAGUGUCAUGGGCUGGCACUUCUAGCUUGCACUGCAUUUGCUUGGAGCUCCUGUUACAUUAUUACAUCAACCUCAAUAAGUGAUUUCUUUGGACAGCUUCUCGCACCAGCUGGAGUAACCUCAUGAAGUUUGGCUGUGCUCCUUUAUCCUCCUCUCCUUGUUCCUGUUCCCUGUUUAACCCCAUUAAUGGGGAAGCUGAAGCCCAAGUAAGGUGUCUUUCUGCUUCAAAGUCUUUGACAGAGGAUAACGAGAUACCCUCCCUGCAAGAAGCAGUUUGAAUAAUUGUCUCCCAGUAACAGAAACCUCUUAUCAUUGUUUCUUUCUUGGACUCUGGUACUGCUUCCCUUGAAACCUGCAGCUUCUUGGCUCUUGCGGGUGCUGCCAAGCAAAAGUCAUGGAGAUACAAACACCCCUAGUGAGUGCAUCUUCAUGAGGAAGCCUAAACCCUGGGAAGGCUAAACCCAAGGAAUGGUACACACGCUUCUCCUUACCUGGAUUUAAAGCCUAGAUGGCCACCAGUCCCUCCUACACUUGUGCCUGGCACAGCAAGCCAUAGUCCCCACAAACCCAAUGGUAUCUUGGUGUUCCCCAGGGGCUGUCAUUUGCCCUCAGCUAGAAAACAAACGCAGAUUUCAUUUGAAACCAAAUCUACAGGAUGUUUCUUGCUGUUACAGAGACAGAAAGCUCCAGAAUACCGAGAAUAUCAUAGAUCCAAAGAGCUUUCUAUUUACAGUUGCCUGAUUUUGGAGGCGAGGCUGACUCAGGACUUUCUGUGCUUGACUUGGCAAAGCCCACCAGCUUUCACCAGCCUCAGCCUCCGAAUAUUUGCCUGCCUCACCUCAGAUGUGUAUCCCUGCAAUGCAGAUUUUAGGGAGGACACAUUGUUAUUUCUUUCUUUUCUCCUGGAAAAAUAUUUUCCUUUUGUAUAGUUCAAUGGAGUCUAAAUAAACAUUUGCUGUAUUUUUGUGUCAUUUUGAAACACAGGUUGAUUCUGCAGAGAGAGCAGCACACAGCAUUCGGUGUUUGAACUUCCAUUUUACUCCAUCCAGACUCUGUAGCCUUGAAACAAAUGUGCCACAUCACAGCAUAAACUCACUGUGGAGAAAUAAGACUAAUUCUAGUUACUGGAUUUAGCAAAUUGUGUUUACAAAGUAGUUGUUUGAUUCUUUUAAUUUCUUGUCAUAUCCUGUUCCAUUUAAACUUGAUUUUUUAACAGAACAGGUGCCACAACUUUAAUGACUGUGACACAGAAUCUCAUUACCCUAAAAAAAAACCAUCAACAAAAAAGUUUGAAGCUUAUUGUCAGCUUUCAUGAGAGAACUUGCAGACAGAGCAGGAAAGUGCACAGUCAGGUUCAGGAACCUGGUGAGGAAUACAGAGAAAUGUUAAAUAAAUUAUUACUUAUGCAUUAUUAAAAUAAGUCACACUUCUAUAGCUCCUCUCAGAUAAUGAACUCAAAUCCAUUUAUAAUUAAUUUCACAACUCCGUGUAGAUGAAGGAACUAUGCCAUGCUGGUUUUAUGAGCAAAGAGCUGAGACUUGGACAUGUGAAGUGUUUAAAGGGGUGUCAUAUCAGGGAAUUUUCCCCAAAGGACAUUCCAACAGGUAAGUGAGGUGGGCAGGCAUCUGGGUUGGUUUUCCAGGUUUUAGCUUCUGGAGCUGGGACUGUCUGUCUGUCCAUCCUGGAUUUAGUUGGAGUCUGGUCCAAUGGGGUCUUCAGAUUUGCUCAGUGGGGUACUGACCCAGCACCUCUAACACCACGGGAACUGGGCUGCUGAACUCAUCAGCCUGAAACUUGGAGUUGCCGAAAAGACAUUUCACAGUGCAAUGCUGUGACAGGAUGCUGAGGACUCCUGUCACUGUUGUUAAAACCUGAAAAGUCAUAGUGCUGCAUAGCAGAGGCAAAAAAAGGCCAUAACACAAAUGCUGGUUUAACUCACGGAUGGGGGAGCUGCAACUGCUGAGACUGGAAGCUGUUGUGCCACGUGCUGAUGGGAAGCAGAAGGAUGGACUUGUCUGAUCUACUGACAUGCGGUGAGGAAAGCACUCAGCUGCUGCUGAACCCAAUGGAAAAUUAAAAUCCUACCCCAAAUAAUUUUCUGACAUGGUAUAUUCCCAGAAAAAGCAAUGACAUUUGCUGGCGCACUGACAAUAACAUGAGCGUUACACAUAACACAACCAAGUGUUCUAUCAGAGCUGAAGUCAACUGUGCAGCCCAGAUUACUUCCACUUUUGUAGACUGCAUUGCAGAGUGCUGUGGGAAGCAAUAUUUUGGGAAGCGUAAUGAGUAGAUAAUCUGAACCCUGUGAAUGCAGGGGAACGUGACUUGCCCUCCUUUCCCCUGCACUACUUGGGUUUGCAAAUGGCAGAUAUUUUCUUUUCCCAGCUUUCUGAUGGGCAAUUGAAUCAAGUUGCACUCUACCUGUGGUAUCCUGUGACUGUGUUCCUUAUCGGGCAGUGGCAAUCCUUCUGUGAAACAACACAUCUAAACCUUUCCUUACACAACUGCCCUUGCCCAGAUGAAGGUAUUCUGUGGUUGGUACCUUCUGCAGCUGCUCACUGCAUUGCACAGGGAGUGGCAGUGAGAUCCUGAAAGCAAAGAAUGCUAUUUUUGGUUCUGCACUGUAAAUGUGAGCCUUUCUUCCUUCCUCCUAAAAUUGAGUGCAUUAACAGAUCACAUUUCAAAGACGCAAUGAAUUUCUGCAUUUAAAACUCUUCCCCAGAAAGUGGUGGGCUUUCUUGAUAAAGAGGCAGGUAGGAAGAACCUGUUCCAUUUCAAAUCUCUGAAAAUAAAGAUCCUGUCAAACUA